rnacentral:tRNA from 1 species
GCUGGAAUUGCAGGUGUUGGCUACUGCACCUACCUAGUAAGUAGGAGUUGACGUCGGUUCGAUUCCGACUUCCAGCCC